UUUGUCGACCUUGUCUACUCAGAUAGCUGAAAUUUGUGUGUGUGUAGGGGGCGGAUUUUCGUUUGAUGCGGAAUUGCAUUCGAAUGUCAUCAACGUUGAUAGUCGCAAUAAGUUUGUCUAGUUUAACCCUACCAUUACUCCUUUGUUAAACAAAGACAGAUGACAAAGAUAAUGCGUGUGUAGUGAAAUUCAAGGCCGGCUUAUUUACAUAAUGCGAAACUUCCACGAAAAAUCUCGAUGAUGAUGUCGGCCAUUUUGCAUUUUCCCGCGCAUAUCGACGAACCUUAAUUUCUCUUUUCUCUUUAGUUUGGGAAGGGUUUUUAGUGUCCACCUUGAAACGAUCUUGCCGUUUUGAACGUCACGUCGUCAAUUUCUGUGUUGGAGAUUGUCUUUUUCCCUUGCUCUUCCGAUUUGUCUUAUUUUGGGCUGGUUUUCCACGAAGUACAUUCCAUUUUCUAACCUGUCAGCUUCCAAUCGUUUUCCUGCUUCUUGGAAAAGUUCAUCACUCUCAAUCUAUUAUCGGAAUUAUCUUGAUUUUUAAAACAAAUUGUUUCAAAAGAAAAAUAUUUCAGUCUGCCAACUCGCCAUAGAUUUGGACAUUCCGCUGGAAUAACCGUAUGCAUCGUGCUAUCGAUAUGUAAUCGAAGAGUGAUAGUUUUGGCGGGCUCAAAAAUUAAAUCCUUAUUGUUAUGUACAGUUAUUUUGCUUAACCGAUUAUUUCUUUUCAACAGAUUGAAUGUAAACAGGAUUGAACUAAACAAGUGUAAUCCGAACAUGCCGUAAUGGAGUCCGUGAUAAACUACCUGUUGGACGGCUCUCAAAACUUUCUAUGGGUUUAAAAUGGAUUGCAAAAUCUCCUUUGAUUCUUUGGAUGCUGACUUCACAAACUGUAAUGUUCUUUGUACUCUGAAUUUUAGGUUCAUGUGAAUGGUGGUCACCAAAAGUCUUAGUCAUAAGACGAUUUGAGGACUACUAUCAGUUCACUCGGUGUUCAAAUGAUUAACUCCCCAGGCAAUUGCACUUGGACUUGAACUUGUGUUUAGGAUUAUAAGUCAAAUGAAAAAUAACAUUAUCUGUUCCAAGUUAAAGGGCUAGAUCUAGGAAUCCUUGUUAUCCUGCUCAAAAUAAACACAUGUGGUUGUUUAAACUCUUGAUCAGAAGCAAACAGAGAUUAGUCGAGUUUGAAAGACUCCUGGUGGCAGACCACUAUGAUAUUCAGGUAUUACCAGCAAUUGGGCAUUUUGUGACCGUGCUAGUUGCAGUUUGGUUCCAUGGUGGAAAAUUAUUAACUGUUAAUUGGUUCACAUUACAAUGGCAAAGAAAGAAACUGCACAAUGUACACCUGAUUUGAAAAUAGUAUUGGCAAAGGAAAUGGAGAUUUCGCUCUACCAGAAUAAGAUAUUGACCCGAAAGGAAACAAAUAGCACACGGCUUUUGCUUUGCCCCAUUUUUUAUGGCCGAGAUAAAUUCAUCCUGGACAAGAUUGCUUGUUUCCAACCGAUGCGGCUGUUAAUUGAAUUUUCGAAAUAUCUAGAUAGACGGGCGGUACCAAACAUUCUGUCGCUGUGGCUCGAGGAUCAGCGGCUGUUGUUUCCGUUAAGUUACCUGUAAAGAGAAGAAGGCUUCGCACUCGGAGGGAUAUUUCCUGUUUUUUAAGAACAUGUCGAUUGAAAUGACGAAGCCGACAUAGCAUGCAUAACAUGCAAGCAUCGAAAUAUUACGAUACUGGUAAAACGUGACUGCAACGCACUUAGCCAUUCUACGUUUCUAGCGAUUUAUUGGAAAUUUCAAGUCUCCAGUCAGUCAUUCAGUAAUAUGAUCUAUAGAACAUGAGGCAUUGACAAAGCAGAGGACAAUUGAUGUGGCCGGGAACGAUAAUCAAUCUGUUUGGUGCAGCAAGGCAUUUUCAUCGUAAAGGGUUGUGUCACCUCGUCAUCAUUACUAUGACGAUGCACGGAACUUUACUGUAUUAUGAACAACCUCGUCGUUUUCACCGUUGCUAAGGACUCGAGUACGAUUUGCAAACACCGUUGGAUGAAGCCAGGAAAAGGUUUAAUGAUAGUUUUAGGAUGGCCCUCUAGCGGCAAGCCACCUGCGAUGUCUUCUACUAAGCCGAGAGCUAUUCCUGCUUCUAUUGUAAGGAAAGUAAAAAC